UACGGGGGGGGCAAGCGUUGUUCGGAAUUACUGGGCGUAAAGGGCGUGUAGGCGGCCAACUAAGUCCGACGUGAAAUCCCCAGGCUUAACCUGGGAACUGCGUCGGAUACUGGAUGGCUUGAAUCCGGGAGAGGGAUGCAGAAUUCCAGGUGUAGCGGUGAAAUGCGUAGAUAUCUGGAGGAACACCGGUGGCGAAGGCGGCAUCCUGGACCGACACUGACGCUGAUGAGCGAAAGCCAGGGGAGCAAACGGG
rnacentral:rRNA from 1 species